AUUGAACGCUGGCGGCAUGCCUUACACAUGCAAGUCGAACGGUAACGGGCCUUCGGGUGCCGACGAGUGGCGAACGGGUGAGUAAUGUAUCGGAACGUGCCUUUCAGUGGGGGAUAACGUAGCGAAAGUUACGCUAAUACCGCAUAUUCUGAGAGCAGGAAAGCAGGGGAUCGCAAGACCUUGCGCUGAUUGAGCGGCCGAUAUCAGAUUAGCUAGUUGGUGCGGUAAAGGCUCACCAAGGCGACGAUCUGUGGCGGGUCUGAGAGGAUGAUCCGCCACACUGGAACUGAGACACGGUCCAGACUCCUACGGGAGGCAGCAGUGGGGAAUUUUGGACAAUGGGGGCAACCCUGAUCCAGCCAUGCCGCGUGAGUGAAGAAGGCCUUCGGGUUGUAAAGCUCUUUCGGCCGGGAAGAAAUCGUAUCAGCUAAUACCUGGUGCGGAUGACGGUACCGGCAUAAGAAGCACCGGCUAACUACGUGCCAGCCGCCGCCGUAAGAC
rnacentral:rRNA from 1 species